UAGGGAAUCUUCCACAAUGGACGCAAGUCUGAUGGAGCAACGCCGCGUGAGUGAAGAAGGUCUUCGGAUCGUAAAGCUCUGUUGUUGGUGAAGAAGGAUAGAGGCAGUAACUGGUCUUUAUUUGACGGUAAUCAACCAGAAAGUCACGGCUAACUACGUGCCAGCAGCCGCGGUAAUACGUAGGUGGCAAGCGUUGUCCGGAUUUAUUGGGCGUAAAGCGAGCGCAGGCGGAAUGAUAAGUCUGAUGUGAAAGCCCACGGCUCAACCGUGGAACUGCAUCGGAAACUGUCAUUCUUGAGUGCAGAAGAGGAGAGUGGAACUCCAUGUGUAGCGGUGGAAUGCGUAGAUAUAUGGAAGAACACCAGUGGCGAAGGCGGCUCUCUGGUCUGCAAACUGACGCUGAGGCUCGAAAGCAUGGGUAGCGAACAGGAUUAGAUACCCUGGUAGUCCAUGCCGUAAACGAUGAGCGCU
rnacentral:rRNA from 1 species